rnacentral:rRNA from 1 species
UUAAGCGACUAAGCGUACACGGUGGAUGCCCUGGCAGUCAGAGGCGAUGAAGGACGUGCUAAUCUGCGAUAAGCGUCGGUAAGGUGAUAUGAACCGUUAUAACCGGCGAUUUCCGAAUGGGGAAACCCAGUGUGAUUCGUCACACUAUCAUUAACUGAAUCCAUAGGUUAAUGAGGCGAACCGGGGGAACUGAAACAUCUAAGUACCCCGAGGAAAAGAAAUCAACCGAGAUUCCCCCAGUAGCGGCGAGCGAACGGGGAGCAGCCCAGAGCCUGAAUCAGUGUGUGUGUUAGUGGAAGCGUCUGGAAAGGCGCGCGAUACAGGGUGACAGCCCCGUACACAAAAAUGCACAUGCUGUGAGCUCGAUGAGUAGGGCGGGACACGUGGUAUCCUGUCUGAAUAUGGGGGGACCAUCCUCCAAGGCUAAAUACUCCUGACUGACCGAUAGUGAACCAGUACCGUGAGGGAAAGGCGAAAAGAACCCCCGGCGAGGGGAGUGAAAAAGAACCUGAAACCGUGUACGUACAAGCAGUGGGAGCACAGAGCAAUCUGUGUGACUGCGUACCUUUUGUAUAAUGGGUCAGCGACUUAUAUUCUGUAGCAAGGUUAACCGAAUAGGGGAGCCGAAGGGAAACCGAGUCUUAACUGGGCGUUAAGUUGCAGGGUAUAGACCCGAAACCCGGUGAUCUAGCCAUGGGCAGGUUGAAGGUUGGGUAACACUAACUGGAGGACCGAACCGACUAAUGUUGAAAAAUUAGCGGAUGACUUGUGGCUGGGGGUGAAAGGCCAAUCAAACCGGGAGAUAGCUGGUUCUCCCCGAAAGCUAUUUAGGUAGCGCCUCGUGAAUUCAUCUCCGGGGGUAGAGCACUGUUUCGGCAAGGGGGUCAUCCCGACUUACCAACCCGAUGCAAACUACGAAUACCGGAGAAUGUUAUCACGGGAGACACACGGCGGGUGCUAACGUCCGUCGUGAAGAGGGAAACAACCCAGACCGCCAGCUAAGGUCCCAAAGUCAUGGUUAAGUGGGAAACGAUGUGGGAAGGCCCAGACAGCCAGGAUGUUGGCUUAGAAGCAGCCAUCAUUUAAAGAAAGCGUAAUAGCUCACUGGUCGAGUCGGCCUGCGCGGAAGAUGUAACGGGGCUAAACCAUGCACCGAAGCUGCGGCAGCGACGCUUAUGCGUUGUUGGGUAGGGGAGCGUUCUGUAAGCCUGCGAAGGUGUGCUGUGAGGCAUGCUGGAGGUAUCAGAAGUGCGAAUGCUGACAUAAGUAACGAUAAAGCGGGUGAAAAGCCCGCUCGCCGGAAGACCAAGGGUUCCUGUCCAACGUUAAUCGGGGCAGGGUGAGUCGACCCCUAAGGCGAGGCCGAAAGGCGUAGUCGAUGGGAAACAGGUUAAUAUUCCUGUACUUGGUGUUACUGCGAAGGGGGGACGGAGAAGGCUAUGUUGGCCGGGCGACGGUUGUCCCGGUUUAAGCGUGUAGGCUGGUUUUCCAGGCAAAUCCGGAAAAUCAAGGCUGAGGCGUGAUGACGAGGCACUACGGUGCUGAAGCAACAAAUGCCCUGCUUCCAGGAAAAGCCUCUAAGCAUCAGGUAACAUCAAAUCGUACCCCAAACCGACACAGGUGGUCAGGUAGAGAAUACCAAGGCGCUUGAGAGAACUCGGGUGAAGGAACUAGGCAAAAUGGUGCCGUAACUUCGGGAGAAGGCACGCUGAUAUGUAGGUGAAGUCCCUCGCGGAUGGAGCUGAAAUCAGUCGAAGAUACCAGCUGGCUGCAACUGUUUAUUAAAAACACAGCACUGUGCAAACACGAAAGUGGACGUAUACGGUGUGACGCCUGCCCGGUGCCGGAAGGUUAAUUGAUGGGGUAGCGCAAGCGAAGCUCUUGAUCGAAGCCCCGGUAAACGGCGGCCGUAACUAUAACGGUCCUAAGGUAGCGAAAUUCCUUGUCGGGUAAGUUCCGACCUGCACGAAUGGCGUAAUGAUGGCCAGGCUGUCUCCACCCGAGACUCAGUGAAAUUGAACUCGCUGUGAAGAUGCAGUGUACCCGCGGCAAGACGGAAAGACCCCGUGAACCUUUACUAUAGCUUGACACUGAACAUUGAGCCUUGAUGUGUAGGAUAGGUGGGAGGCUUUGAAGUGUGGACGCCAGUCUGCAUGGAGCCGACCUUGAAAUACCACCCUUUAAUGUUUGAUGUUCUAACGUGACCCGUAUCCGGGUUGCGGACAGUGUCUGGUGGGUAGUUUGACUGGGGCGGUCUCCUCCUAAAGAGUAACGGAGGAGCACGAAGGUUGGCUAAUCCUGGUCGGACAUCAGGAGGUUAGUGCAAUGGCAUAAGCCAGCUUGACUGCGAGCGUGACGGCGCGAGCAGGUGCGAAAGCAGGUCAUAGUGAUCCGGUGGUUCUGAAUGGAAGGGCCAUCGCUCAACGGAUAAAAGGUACUCCGGGGAUAACAGGCUGAUACCGCCCAAGAGUUCAUAUCGACGGCGGUGUUUGGCACCUCGAUGUCGGCUCAUCACAUCCUGGGGCUGAAGUAGGUCCCAAGGGUAUGGCUGUUCGCCAUUUAAAGUGGUACGCGAGCUGGGUUUAGAACGUCGUGAGACAGUUCGGUCCCUAUCUGCCGUGGGCGCUGGAGAAUGAGGGGGGCUGCUCCUAGUACGAGAGGACCGGAGUGGACGCAUCACUGGUGUUCGGGUUGUCAUGCCAAUGGCACUGCCCGGUAGCUAAAUGCGGAAGAGAUAAGUGCUGAAAGCAUCUAAGCACGAAACUUGCCCCGAGAUGAGUUCUCCCUGACUCCUUGAGAGUCCUGAAGGAACGUUGAAGACGACGACGUUGAUAGGCCGGGUGUGUAAGCGCAGCGAUGCGUUGAGCUAACCGGUACUAAUGAACCGUGAGGCUUAACCUU